UACAGAGGUCUCAAGCGUUGUUCGGAUUCAUUGGGCGUAAAGGGUGCGCAGGCGGUGCCGUAAGUCGGGUGUGAAAUCCCGGAGCUUAACUCCGGAACUGCAUUCGAUACUGCGGUGCUCGAGGACUGGAGAGGAGACUGGAACUCAUGGUGUAGCAGUGAAAUGCGUAGAUAUCAUGAGGAAGGCCAGUGGCGAAGGCGGGUCUCUGGACAGUUCCUGACGCUGAGGCACGAAGGCCAGGGGAGCAAACGGG
rnacentral:rRNA from 1 species